ensembl:lncRNA
AUGGGGCGGCUUCACUGGAGCCCAGGACUCCUGACCAGGGAUGGUGCUGGGUCUGGUAAGAAUCCUGCAAAACUGAAAAUUAAAUCUUGCGCUGGCAGCAAACGGGACACAGCAGCUGGCCUGGGAGCAGCCACAGGAGCCACAGCCGCCUUUGCCACAGCUGGAGCAAGAGCAGGCUGGCACACAGCAGCACACGGGCACACAGCAGCUGGAGCCACAGCCCCACAGCCAGAGCCACAGCCCCACAGGAGCCACAGCCCCUUGGAGCCCCACAGGAGCCACAGCCCCUUGGAGCCCCACAGGAGCCACAGCCCCUGGGAACCCCACAGGAGCCACAGCCCCUUGAACCCCACAGGAGCCACAGCCCCUUGGAACCCCACAGGAGCCACAGCCCCUUGGAGCCCCACAGGAGCCACAGCCGCCUUUGCCACAGCUGGAGCAGGAGCAGGCUGGCACACAGCAGCACACGGGCUUGCAGCAGCAGACGGGCACACAGCAGCUGGAGCCACAGCCCCACAGCUGGAGCCGCAGCCCCACAGCUGGAACUGCAGCCCCCAUAGCUGGAGCCGCAGCCUCCGGAACAGCCACAGCAGCCCAUGGUUCUGGUGGGUUGAGGGUGGAGUAGGUCAGAGGAGCAGGUGGAGAGAGAGAAGGUGCUCAGUGUGGGGCCUCCGGGGCCAGGAGCCUCUAUAUACCUGCCAGGACAGGUGGAUCAUGUGCUGACUUCCUAUUAGUACUUCCUGUUUGUGAGUUUCUCCAGGGCCCACGAGUGCGUGUGUGUGUGUCUGUGCAUACACACUGCUUGUCCCUGGCCUCUCAUUGGUUCUGUCCACCGUCGCCUUUCCUAUGUUUCUAAAUUUGAUCUCCUGCCAUUUUGUUUUGCAGUUAUUAAUGGAAAGAACUUUCCAGAAUUUGUAGCUGUUCUGGAAUUUUCUAGAAUGCAAUAUCUGCCAUUCAUAGGUGUGUGCUGCUCUCUCUGUGGGGCCCCAAACAAAGCCCAGACCCCCACUUCCUGCAGGUGCCUUUGUGCUCCUGCUGUCCCAAGAAGGUGUUUGUUACAAAACCAAACUUGAGCCCGCUUGCCCAACACACGACACAGCCAGUCUCGGACACGGUCUGCUGGAAGGAAGCGCCGUGUCACACGACACAGCCAGUCUCGGACACGGUCUGCAGGAAGGCAGCCCCUUGCCACAGCUGGAGCAGGAGCAGGCUGGCACACAGCAGCACACGGGCUUGCAGCAACAGGCGGGCACACAGCAGCUGGACUGGGAGCAGCAGGGUUUGCAGCAGCUGGACUGGGAGCAGCAGGAUUUGCAGCAGCUGGACUGGGAGCAGCAGGGUUUGCAGCAGCUGGACUGGGAACAGCAAACGGGGACACAGCAGCUCGACUGGGAGCAGCCACAGGAGCCACAGCCCCUUGGAGCCCCCACACGAGCCACAGCCCCUUGCCACAGCUGGAGCAGGAGCAGGCUGGCACACAGCAGCACACGGGCUUGCAGCAGCAGACAGGCACACAGCAGCUGGAGCCACAGCCCCACAGCUGGAGCCACAGCCUCCACAGCUGGAGCCGCAGCCUCCGGAACAGCCGCAGCAGCCCAUGGUUCAGGUGGGUUGAGGGUGGAGUAGGUCAGAGGAGCAGGUGGAGAGAGAGGUGCUCAGUGUGGGGCCUCCGGGGCCAGGAGCCUCUAUACCUGCCAGGACAGGUGGAUCAUGUGCUGACUUCCUAUUAGU